CGCUGGCGGCGUGCCUAAUGCAUGCAAGUCGAGCGGGCUACGGUCUUCGGACUGUAGCUUAGCGGCGAACGGGUGAGUAACACGUAGGUAAUCUACCCUUCAGAGGAGGACAACCUCAGGAAACUGAGGCUAAACCUUCAUACGUUCACUGGUAGGGAUACUGGUGAAGAAAGAGUUACCUUAGUGGUAGCUGCUGAAGGAUGAGCCUGCGGCCCAUCAGGUAGUUGGUGAGGUAACGGCUCACCAAGCCGAAGACGGGUAACCGGUCUGAGAGGAUGUCCGGUCACACUGGGACUGAGACACGGCCCAGA
rnacentral:rRNA from 2 species